GAUGAACGCUGGCGGCGUGCCUAAUACAUGCAAGUCGAGCGAACAGACGAGGAGCUUGCUCCUCUGACGUUAGCGGCGGACGGGUGUGUAACACGUGGAUAACCUACCUAUAAGACUUGGAUAACUUCGGGAAACCGGAGCUAAUACCGGAUAAUAUAUUGAACCGCAUGGUUCAAUAGUGAAAGACGGUUUUGCUGUCACUUAUAGAUGGAUCCGCGCCGCAUUAGCUAGUUGGUAAGGUAACGGCUUACCAAGGCAACGAUGCGUAUCCGACCUGAGAGGGUGAGCGGCCACACUGGAACUGAGACACGGUCCAGACUCCUACGGGAGGCAGCAGUAGGGAAUCUUCCGCAAUGGGCGAAAGCCUGACGGAGCAACGCCGCGUGAGUGAUGAAGGUCUUCGGAUCGUAAAACUCUGUUAUUAGGGAAGAACAAAUGUGUAAGUAACUAUGCACGUCUUGACGGUACCUAAUCAGAAAGCCACGGCUAACUACGUG
rnacentral:rRNA from 1 species